UUGCUCCCAGUUGGAGAAAAAUGUGAACAUGUGUCAAGCAGGUUGGGUGGAGCUGUCACAACUCACUCCCAGGUCAUACUCAAGGCUUGUCCAUCAACUGGACAAUAAACCCUGUCCUGUCUUACAAAAAAAUGCAUAAAAGAAGGAUGUGUUUGAAGGACAGAGAGAGAGCUCUGCCUGCUUUCCUCAACUGACUGUAAGAGGAGUGAGGACCUGACAGCUCAGAGGGGAGAUGAUCUGAAUUUCUCAUCAAUCUCCUGACUUUACACUCCUUGAGAGGGUGUCAACAGGAAACCUGGUUUUGCUUCAGUUUUCAGUAUUUGAAAUCCAGUGGGACCUUUUGGUACAAAAGCUCAAUUUGGACUGGAUGGGAACCCAGUUUACUAGUUUAAGUCACUGUUGGCUAAUACAGCUUGAAGCUGUUCUACAAUAAAGCACAACAUUCAGCUGUGAGCUUUAUCACUGGGACUCAUCUGACCUUUCCCAGGCCUCUGAAGGGAAGGACCAGGCCCGUCUUUGGCUUUCGACUCCGCAGACGGGUAGUUUUUUUUUUUUUUUGUUCCCUUUCCCAAUUUCCCUUUGCUUGCAGAACAGUUGCUUUCCCCGAAGCAGACAGGCAUGACCUGAAUACGUUGAAUGUUUGGCUGGAAAUAAUCUACUUAACAUAAAUAUUUCCAUCUAAAUUUUACCCUGGAUGGCUUCCUUAGUGUUCUCAGAGGACUGAAGGAAAAGUGGGUUUUCAGGGAUGAGGUGGUGAGGAGCUGGGUCACCUGAACUCACAAGCCCUUGUGGUAGAGGAGCUGCCAAAAAAUCUGAUUUCGUGCAUGAUGCUGGAAAGUUAUGCCUAUGGUCUGUGAUUACCAGGACAAAAAUGACCUCUUGACAAUAAGAAGGGAAAAUGGUGGUGGUCAAAAUCAGGAGAAAGCACGAAUGUGGAGGUUGGAUCAGACCGUGACUAUGGUGAAGCUCUUUGCUGGAAAUAUGUGAUGGAACUGGCACAGUGGCCUUUUCCCCAGCAUGGCAGAGGGACUUGGAGUCUACACUGUAGAUUAUGUUACAAUUAGACAUUGUUCAUCCAUCCAGAGAACACAGAACUUCACCUUUAGCCACCUAGUUGCUUUUCAUGUGAUUAUUCAGGAAAUGUGAAUUACAAGUAGAGCUUGUUUUUAAACAACGCUAAAAAAAUGUGAACUUGCUGACUGGGACUAAGACAAGAUAGACCAAAGCACAUAAAAAAUUAUGGAAAUUUAUUCACCUGAUCACACCCUGAGAGAAAAAUAAAGGUGUGAACAAAAAUAGUAAUUGUAAACCAGUUUUUUUUUUUUUUUUAAACACUUCCUUUUUCCCCCCUGGUAUCUAUUUUCCA